rnacentral:rRNA from 1 species
UGGGGAAUAUUGCACAAUGGGGGAAACCCGUGAUGCAGCGACGCCGCGUGAGUGAAGAAGUAUUUCGGUAUGUAAAGCUCUAUCAGCAGGGAAGAAGAAAGACGGUACCUGACUAAGAAGCCCCGGCUAACUACGUGCC